rnacentral:rRNA from 1 species
CAGGUGCUGCAUGGCUGUCGUCAGCUCGUGUUGUGAAAUGUUGGGUUAAGUCCCGCAACGAGCGCAACCCUUAUCCUUGUUUGCCAGCGAGUAAUGUCGGGAACUCCAGGGAGACUGCCGGUGAUAAACCGGAGGAAGGUGGGGACGACGUCAAGUCAUCAUGGCCCUUACGAGUAGGGCUACACACGUGCUACAAUGGCGCAUACAGAGGGCGGCCAACUUGCGAAAGUGAGCGAAUCCCAAAAAGUGCGUCGUAGUCCGGAUUGGAGUCUGCAACUCGACUCCAUGAAGUCGGAAUCGCUAGUAAUCGUGGAUCAGAAUGCCACGGUGAAUACGUUCCCGGGCCUUGUACACACCGCCCGUCACACCAUGGGAGUGGGCUGCAAAAGAAGUGGGUAGUUUAACCUUCGGGAGGACGCUCACCACUUUGUGGUUCAUGACUGGGGUGAAGUCGUAACAAGGUAGCGCUAGGGGAACCUG